CACCAUCUGUCUUUGUGUUCACUAGUAGGUGCUAAUUGGCAUGAGUGAAAGGAGGUGGAAAUAAACACAUAGCCCAAUAUAGCCAGUCUUGUUUGACUGAAAAAGAAAAUUUCUUUGAACUUUAUUGGAUUUCCAACAAAAUGAGAUUUUCAGGGCAACAAAUGCUUAGAUUUUUACCAGUGUUACAACCACAUUACAUCUUAGGGAUAUGGAAAAACAUACAGGCCUGAUUCUGUGAUCAGUUUUCUAGCAAAAGAAAAAGAAUCUCAGCACUGAUGGUUUGAAGGACAGCAACUUUCAACUGUAAUUUUCAGAUCCAUUCCAGACUUCCUGCCUUAUUUUUCUUCAUGCAAGAUCAAGCUAUGAAACAAAUAGAGGGAUUUAACAUUCUGGAAAAUGCCUGGAGAACAGAAGGCCUGAAACUGAAAUCUAUGCAUACAUGUCUGCCUCCAGCUUGGAUUUUAAACCUUGUUGCACCCUUGUACAAAGGAUCUGAAGGUUGAAGGACUGAAGGUUGGUCUCAGAAAUGCAUCCUUCUUGCUAUAUAACAGAUAAGGACCAGCAUAGUUUGGUUUCUCAAGGCAUUUGUGUGUUAAAAUAAAUAAAUAAAUAAAUAUAAAGUAAGAAAAUGU
rnacentral:lncRNA from 1 species